rnacentral:rRNA from 1 species
UACGUAGGGUGCAAGCGUUGUCCGGAAUUAUUGGGCGUAAAGAGCGCGUAGGCGGCCCGGUAAGUCAAAGGUGAAAUCCCUCGGCUCAACUGAGGAACUGCCUUUGAAACUGUCGGGCUUGAGGCCGGGAGGGGGUAGCGGAAUUCCCAGUGUAGCGGUGAAAUGCGUAGAUACUGGGAGGAACACCAGUGGCGAAGGCGGCUACCUGGACAGGUUCUGACGCUGAUGCGCGAAAGCGUGGGUAGCAAACAGG